AGCACGCUGAUGACUGGGUGUGGGAUGACCAAGAAGAUGGCAUGCGGGAGAUGUCAUGGGCUUGGCAACUCACAAACCGAGAUGACGUGUAUCCAUGGAGAAUCUUUAGAGCACUUCCACCUGCAUCAUUGCACUGGCCUUUCUAUGCGUGCUGUGAACUACACUAAGAGUCACCACGAUUUCCAACCUACAGAUAGGAAACUGGAGGUCCCAGGUCUACCAUGGUGACCUGCUCAGCAGAGCUUGGGCCAAAAGUCAGGUCUUCAUGUGGUACUUCCAAAGGAGAAAUUACAAAAGGACCUCCUCAAGGUCUUCAAGUGAGAUCCUGUCCUCCAGGGGUUGGACAAGGUCUCAUCUUCCUGGAACCUCUGUCUUGGGCAGCAACAGAGCCUCCCCAGAUUAAACACUUGAAGACCGACCUUCAGGAACCCCAAAUACUCCAACCACCUGCCGAACACAGGGCAGUUACUGACGAACUCCGGCAGUUCUCCAACCACGGCCCAGCAAAGCCAGGUGCACACGCUGCCUACCACAGUGCCAUCUCUACAGUUUAUUGACGUAGAAAAGAGAGUCAUGUGUCUCUAUAACUUUAAAAAUAUUACCUUUGUGAUAGUUUGCUGAGAAUGAUGGUUUCCAGUUUCAUCCAUGUCCCUACAAAGGACAUGAACUCAUCACUUUUUAUGGCUGCAUAGUAUUCCAUGGUGGAUAUGUGCCACAUUUUCUUAAUCCAGUCUAUCGUUGUUGGACAUUUAGGUUGGUUCCAAGUCUUUGCUAUUGUGAAUAGUGCCACAAUAAACAUACGUGUGCAUGUGUCUUUAUAGCAGCAUGAUUUAAGGACAAAAAAACCAAACACCGCAUGUUCUCACUCUUAGGUGGGAAUUGAACAAUGAGAACACA
rnacentral:lncRNA from 1 species